CGGCCGCGGGGCGGCCACCGGCGAGCGGCGGCCGAGGGCGCGGAGCGGCGAGCGGAUACUCCGCGCAGCCCGCCCGGCGUGCCCGCGGGCAUGGAGCAGGACAAGUACCUGCCCCAGCUGAUGGCCGAGAAGGACAGCCUGGAUCCCUGCUUUGUUCAUGCCAUGCGUCUCCUGGAAGACGAAAUGGAAAAAUUUCAGGGUUCUGAAGGCAAGAAGGAAGAUGAAGAAAAGAAAUAUCUUGAUGUUAUCAGCAACAAAAACAUAAAGCUGUCAGAGAGAGUUCUGAUCCCUGUCAAACAAUAUCCAAAGUUCAAUUUUGUUGGGAAAUUGCUUGGACCAAGAGGAAACUCUUUAAAGAGGUUACAAGAAGAAACAGGUGCAAAAAUGUCCAUCCUGGGAAAAGGAUCCAUGAGGGAUAAAGCUAAGGAGGAAGAACUAAGGAAAAGUGGAGAAGCCAAAUACGCGCACUUGAGUGAUGAGCUCCACGUAUUAAUUGAAGUUUUUGCUCCGCCUGGGGAGGCGUAUUCUCGUAUGAGUCAUGCCUUGGAAGAAAUAAAAAAAUUCCUGGUUCCUGAUUAUAAUGAUGAAAUUCGCCAGGAGCAGCUGAGAGAACUGUCGUAUUUGAAUGGUUCUGAGGACUCAUCACGUGGACGGGGCAUUCGAGGAAGAGGGAUCCGUGUGCCACCUGCAGCUCCUUCAAGGGGUCGUGGGGGUGCGAUUCCUCCACCCCUGCCUGGACGAGGUGCCCAAGCACCCAGAGGAGCACCGGUGACCCGUGGAGCCCUCCCUGUGCCACCAGUGGCAAGGGGCGUUCCCACCCCUCGAGCCAGGGGCGCCCCAUCUGUCCCAGGUUACAGACCACCCCCGCCACCUGCACACGAGGCCUACGAGGACUAUGGAUACGAUGAUGGGUAUGGGGGUGAAUAUGAUGAUCCAAGCUAUGAGGCAUAUGAUAACAGUUAUGCUACCCAAACACAAAGUGUGCCUGAAUAUUAUGACUACAGUCAUGGAACAAGUGAAGAGGCUUAUGACAGCUACGCACAAGAAGAAUGGGCCACAACCCGUUCCAGCCUAAAGGCACCACCUCCAAGGUCAGCCAGAGGGGGUUACAGGGAACACCCCUAUGGUAGAUAUUGAAGGUCCUCCUCAUCUGUGACCUCACCUCAAAGACAAUUAAUAGCCUGUGGUCUCCACAUAAACAGCAACAAGACAAUGCUAAAUAUCACCGCCCUUGAAGGCAGUUUAGAGGGCUGAUAUUCUUUUGAGACUAUCAGACUUGAUGGCUGAUGAUUAUUAAGGAAAUAUGUCGCAGGACUCAAAGGAUGACUAAACGUUAAACAGGGACUCACAGGCAUUGGACAGCUAAGCAGCAGAUCUGCUGAGAAGUGGUCAGGAUGCAUUAGCUCAUGAUGGAUGGCUUCCUCACAGAAAAACAGUGAAUACCUUUGUUACAUACCCUUGCAUUACAGGACCUUCACACUGUGUUACCACCAAGUCAGAGAUCUUACAGAAAAUCUUGGGAUCUGAUUUUCAUCAGAGUUACAAGUGGCAUAACAGGAGUUUUUCCUGACUAUGCAAAGUGCUGUUUAAGGUUAGGUGCAAGCAUUGGGUUUCCCAGAAUUUUUGGAGCCUUAGGGAAGUACUGUACCUUUUGAAUGGUGUUCAGGGAACUGAGAGUGCUCAACAUCAUUUGCAAUAAAUCACUCUGUUCUGAAGGACUGAGCCUCAGGUUGGGACUCUCCACAGCCCUGAGUUUUGGACCUCAGGCUACCACUCAGACUUAAAGUGAUCUUCCAGUCUAUCAGCUGAAGUGAGCCUCCUUUAUUUUCCUAAAAGCAUCCCUAAAGACUGGGAUAUGUUGCUGUACUCUUACACUAUAAUGAGGAUCUCCGAAAUCAGGUAAGUAAAUGAGGAGAUAAAUUAUGUAAGUAUAUGCAUUUUUUCUCAAGAUAGAUAAGAUUAAAUGUAGGAGGAUACUCAGCCUGAAGCUAAUAGACAUAAGACACUGUGAACCAUACUAGUAAUAAAGAUAUUAGGGUGCCAGUUAUUCCCAGACCUUACUGGCAAGUUCUGUAGAUACAGAUGUAACAUGUAAGUUUGAGUAACUAAUCUCUCCUUAUAACACUGCUACAGUUUAGUCAGGGCUGAAUCUAGCCUUUAGGCUGUGUCCUGAACUCUUUUCUCUCAAAGUCAAAUAUUUUUAGCUUUUAUUGACCUGACCAGCUGACUCUGCUCAGCAUUUGUUUUUGGUCAAGUGCACUCCUCCCCUGUACAUUUAAACUGACUGACCAAAGAAGUUGUGUUCUUCAGACAUGAAAUGAAUUUUUAUUACUGAAGUCCACAGUGCAGAACAUUGGAAGUUAUGUAAUAAUGUGAAAGGACAUAUAAUUGAAAGGCUGUCAGAAGAUGAAAGCGUACUAAGCUUCCCAGAGCAUUCACAUUUGCAACUCAUGAAGCCUGAUGACACUGAAAAAGCAAUUCAUUGUUUAAUGCAUGCACCUCUGGUGGCAGCGCUCCUCCUCAGCGCUGGCUGUUGAAAUAUCACAGUCUCUAGCAUAGGAUUUAAUACAGGAGUUUUCCAUUAAAGAUGUUAGCUGUUGCAGUUCACAAUAACUUCUAGCUCAGCUCACCUGCUGGGGACACAGUACUUUGUCCUUGAGUAAGCAGGAUUGCUUUCAUCCUAUUCUUCUCACUGGAGCAGAGAGGAAGUAGAGUGUGAGUACACAUGGAGCAAUGUACAACAAGGGAGUAACUGCAAUACAGGCAUAUAUUAUUAUUGUAUUUGUUUUAAAUGUCAAGCAAUAAUACAUGUGAAAUAAAAGUAAGUCCGUAACUAUCCUGACAUUCUCCUAAAUGUGCAGUAAAACAAAUAAUAAAUAAUAAAACUGUAGGUUACACGAAUCAAAUUCAAAUCAGUUCAACUGCAUAAUUUUCAGUGAAGACAUGCUGAUGAAACACAGAAUAAACUGCAGAAGGGAAGGUUCAUUGCUUCCUAAUCAAAAGCAAUCAGGUUUAAACACCAGCCAGUCAGGUGAUAGGUUUGUCAUUUCUCAGCUGUGCUCUUGGAGGGAAUUUGCCAAGAAGGCUUGACAGCCUUUAAACUUUGCAGAGCAUUUUUUGCCUGUUUCCGAACAUCAUGUUGAUCUACAAAAACUCCUAGGAAACUGGGAGGAGAGGCAGAGUAACAGCAGUUCUAUUAAAAUAUAUUUGCUGCAAUGAAUUUCAAUCAGAGUUUAUAGUGUGAAAAAAUGUGCAUUUUCAGAAGAGAAAUUUUCACCACCCCUGAUUCUUUCUUGUCUAAUUCUGUCCAGCUACUUUUGGGGACUGAGGAGUGUCAAUCGUUAAUUACUUGAGUGUCAGAGAAGUAAAGGCUUGUAAUGCAUCACUAAAAGCCAGAAAUCAAGGUGCCUGAAUUAUGAUGGGAAGCUUUAAAUGAAUAUAUUACUGCUACAUACAGUUAACAGCCCAAGCCAGAAAUCAUUUACUUUCAUAAUGCAGAACAAUGACAGCUCUCCAGUAAAAACAUAUUUACAGUAGUUUUACAUUGCUUUCUAGAAGUUUCGUACGAAAGGGUGAGACAAAAAUUAAUGUGCACCAAGGCAGUUACAGAGAACCCUGUCUUUGUACUGUUCUUUCCUUUUAAUCAGCAUAAACUCUGCUAAAUAGGGGAAAGAAUUAUGAGUAGGUAGCAAGCAUCUAGGUUGCUGAGGGCAAAUCACCCUCAGGGGAAUAACCUUGCAAUUUGAGCAACAGAGUCUGGCCUUUACAUGACUUAAGAUGAACAGGUCUUCUCUGUUUUAACCCAGCAGGAACAGCAAUUGCAAGGCAGCCAACCUGAAGUCCCUCAACCACCUUUUCUUACAUGAACAGAAGGUACAGAGUACUUCAUUAUGUGCAUGAACAGAAAUGCUUAAAUGGAUGAAGCAGCUAUUUACGUCUGAUAGGAGCUAAGUGGGACAUUAAAUUAAUGCCAAACAAUACUCUGAGUAAUUGUGUACAACUCCAAGAACUGAUACCUGUAAGGAAGUUCCAGUGUCAGACAGACAAAGAAAGUAAAAUAUAAAAAAAGCUAAGCAAUCCUGUUCACAUCAGUGGGUCUUAUCAAAGCUGUAUAGGUUGUAAGAUUUGUCUCUGAAAUCAUACUAUGCUAAAUAUGAGAGUACAGAAGACAAUUUAAUAAAUGGGCUACAUCGAGUCAGUUAAUUGGUGUUCUGUGGAGUGUAGUCUGUGUACCAAUAAAAAUCUCCAUGAUUUUUAUUAAUUCUAUUAAAGUAGCACGUCACCUCCAAAUAUUUACAGAGAUCAAACAGACUCACUUCAGGACAAGUCCUUCAUACAUACCAGAGGUACUAUUUCCUGAAAUGUAAACAGUUGGCAUCUGCUGAACCCUAAUCCCUAAAUCAGAAACAUAAAUGUUUGGAUUAACAAAAAAUGGAAAGCCUUACUCUUUGUUGUUGACCUCCUAGUAGAUAUUUUUUCGCUUUCAAUGUUAGGUACAUGACUAGCGUUCUUUAUCCAGGACUGGAAAUGAAGUGACUUUUUGGCGCAGUAACUUUUUGGCAUAAUGACCACAAAGGACAGCAAUGAUCAAAUUCAAGCCAACACAAACCCUCAUGGAUGCUCGCCAACUUCAGGAGAUUUGAAAUCAAGCCUUCAGUUCAAUGUUACACACGUGAUGCAGCUGUGUGAUGAUGCACAUGUGAUGAGGCAAGUGAGAUUUCAUAGUCUUAAGAAUCAGAGAAAUAAAAGGAUAUUUAUUUUACCCCUUUAAAAGAGCAUAUGGAUCUGAUACCAGAAAAAGUUGAGGAAAUAUAAAACAUAAGCUUAUCAUUGAAAUCUGUUUGGUUUUUCUACACAGAGAGUUUUAGCACCCCACUGCACCAGAGACAAAGUGUUUAAUAACUGUUAAAUGUUUUAGCACAGACCUGGAAUUGCUGUCUGUCAUAUUUGCAGUGCAUAUAUAUGUAAUACAGAAUGCAAAUAUACAGAAUAUUCCAUUGUACAAAAUAAAGCUAUAACAAUGAGCAAACUGCUUAAACCAUAGUGCUCAGGGAAUGAAAUUUGAAAUUCUUUUCCAUAGUUUAUUUUUGGACAGUGUUUUUUCCGGAAGAGAUUAAAUACAGAGCUGCUGGAGAGCACUGAGAAGUUGGGAAAGAAUGAGAAUGAGGAUGUAGGUGUUGGUGCUGAGGACCCAGGGCACAAGCAGUGAUCUUGGAAGUUCUGCCUCUUCUGUUUUGUGCUGUGGUUUUAGGCUGUACAGAUCCCAGUAGGACAAUCCAUAAUUAAGUCGGGGUUUAAGGGCUUUCAGUCUUUCUUUUCUCAAGUCACACUCCAGCCACAGCUCCCAACCUCAUGCCAGGGGCUCCAAAAGUUGUUGGAACUUCUCCAGGACCACAGCAGGAGAUCAAGGAACUAAGUGCUCCAGGUCAACCUGCCUAGUGAGGGGGGAGUCCUGCAGCCUCUGCUCCUAAAGGUAGUGGAUUGGGAACUGCAAAUUGGAGCUGUCAGUGAUGUCCCUGAACCAGCACUUCUUCAGAGCCUGAGAUGCUCACCAGGUGUUGCCUUUGGCAAGAUGACAGGGAAACAGUAAUAUUUCCUCUGAAUUCUGCCUCACUUUACACACAGUUGUGACAGGUAUUCAGUGUACAUUCAAUAUUUUUUUUGAUUCCACAUAUCUAUUUGGCUGGGAAGCAAAUUAUAAGUAAGUUUCAGAGAAGACUGGAAUUGUCCACAUAAAAAUGUUUGAUGCUUUGAAAUGGCUACAAAACAAUAAAAAAUAAAAUCAGUAAAAUACACCUACAUACAAUUUCAAUUGUUUUAAUAAGUUCUUUUCAUGUUCUAUUUUCAUGUUAUUAAUUUCUGGAAAAAAUGAAUUUCAUUAUACUCUGUAAGAAUAAAGGAAGUCUUUCAAAUUUGUUGUUAGGUUAUAUAUUAAAUUUUAGGUCUGUGCAUUAGAAUUUUCAUACAACUCAAAAUUAUCAAAAUAAUUACUUCUUGUCUAUGCAAAUAUACAGGGUUAGCUUUCAUUCCUACCCUGUCAUAAGAAAUCCAAAAUUCUAGGCAGUAUAAAAAAUGUGCCUUGAAUCCUAUUGUCAAUAUUCACCUAUUUCCCUUCUUACAACAGAAUGUAAUUUUGACAGACAACCCUUUAACCCUGGGGUAAAGGAAAGUAGCUCUUGCCAUGUUGAAUAAUGUGCAAAUUUCAGCUGAUGGGGAUCUAUUCUUUGCCUCCAACAGGACAAAAAGCUAUUUCUAGUGGUUGUGACUUUUAAUAUUAAUAAUUUUAAAUAACCCAUAAACUGACAUAAUUCAGGGAGAAUCUACUUUUUCUUUACCUUUACUCUUGCCAAAAAGGUCUUAGAAAACAAUAUCAAAUCAUAUUGUAUUACGGCCAUCAUCUUGACACUAGAAUUUACAUAGUACAGUGCAUUUGUAUUUAUAGUUUAUACAGUAGGACAUUUGGCCCUUGCUUUUAUUAUUCUACUGUCAUGUAAUUAAUAUCUUUCCAGAUAUUGUCACCCUGAGUUACUUACUCACCUGAGCAAGGUCACAAAAGUAAGGCCUGAACCUCUUUCAUUGUUGAUAUGAAAUGAAUGUAGGAGUUGAGAAUGCUGCUCUGGCUGUGGGUGUCUGCACAUACCCAUGUGCCAUCCUGGAGUGUGACAGGCUAGCAGGACACAAACAUGAGUGAAAAAAAUACCUUUGAUUUCUGAUCUGGGAGAUUGUAGCAGCCACAAUACUGGCAUAGAGCAUCUCAAACCUUGGAUCAUCUCAAAACUUGGAAAUUAGUCUCUGUUGCAGAAUGUUAUUUGUACUUCAUGCAAGGAUAAAAAGAGUUCUUCCUAAUUUCACAAAAUGCAAAGUAUGGACAAUCACAGCCACCAUUAGUAGGAUCUCUUCAGGUUCUUACCUUUGUUGUUGUUGUUUGAAUUUUUAUUUGUGAAUAUUAAAGCCACAUUUUUUGUGAAAAACUUAUGAAUAAUAUUUGUAGAAUUGCAAGUGUACCUUGGAAUUCUUAUUCAUUUGUGUUUUAAGUAGCCAAGUUUAUUUCAUCAUUAUUGUGCAGUUUGACUACCAGUAUUCAUAAGGUGUACCUGCAUGCCACUUUGAUGAGUACUGCAAGGUUAGCAAGUACCCAGCAGGAAUUAAAAGACUUGUCUUUUAUCAAAAGGGGUCAGUGAUCAUGGACUGCUUCAUUGCUUAUUAAAAAUAAAGUAAAUUUGCAUCAAAUAAAAGUAAAUACGAGUAUCUAGUGGCUUUCCAAGCAAGCAUAAAGUGGGAUUUGGAGAAUUGAGUCUUAAGAAACUUGCUUGACAUCUAACUUCAAACAAAAAUUGGAUAUGUAAAUUGGGUAUGUCUUCUUGCUACCAGGAAAUCUAUCCAGCUACCGGGAAAGCUCAGUCCUAUAGGAUACAUGUAUAGUUAAUGUUUUAAGAGAAAAGGCUGAGCUACCUAAUCUUUGAGAAAAUUUCAAAAAAACCCAAAAUUUUAAAAGGCAGAAAAGAAAUCAGAAGGAAAAAAAAAGGGGG